AUUGAACGCUGGCGGCAUGCUUUACACAUGCAAGUCGAACGGUAACAGGCCGCAAGGUGCUGACGAGUGGCGAACGGGUGAGUAAUGAAUCGGAACGUGCCCAGUCGUGGGGGAUAACGCAGCGAAAGCUGCGCUAAUACCGCAUACGAUCUAUGGAUGAAAGCGGGGGACCGUAAGGCCUCGCGCGAUUGGAGCGGCCGAUGUCAGAUUAGGUAGUUGGUGAGGUAAUGGCUCACCAAGCCAACGAUCUGUAGCUGGUCUGAGAGGACGACCAGCCACACUGGGACUGAGACACGGCCCAGACGCCUACGGGAGGCAGCAGUGGGGAAUUUUGGACAAUGGACGCAAGUCUGAUCCAGCCAUGCCGCGUGCGGGAAGAAGGCCUUCGGGUUGUAAACCGCUUUUGUCAGGGAAGAAACGCUCUGGGUUAAUACCUCGGGGUAAUGACGGUACCUGAAGAAUAAGCACCGGCUAACUACGUGCCAGCCGCCGCCGUAAAAC
rnacentral:rRNA from 1 species